AACAAGUUUGGAAAAAACUGUCGACAACUUGUAAAAACCUUGUUCAUAUAAUCAGACUUGUUGCAAGUUUGUUUCAACAAAUCCAAAACAGUCAUGAUACUGUAGAACAAUAUUGUUACAACCUUGUGUCAUCAGCCUUGUAACAUUCUUGUGAUAUCACGACUGUAUCAGACUUGUUAGAACAGCUUUGCUACAAGUCUGAUAAUGCCAUCAGGCUUGUUAUAAUUACAAGUUGUUAAUAACAGCUUGUUCCAAACUUGUU